AAUAUUGGACAAUGGGGGCAACCCUGAUCCAGCCAUGCCGCGUGUGUGAAGAAGGUCUNCGGAUUNUNAAGCACUUUAAGUUGGGNGGAAGGGCUUUAGGCUAAUACCCUGAAGUUUUGACGUUACCAACAGAAUAAGCACCGGCUAACUCUGUGCCAGCAGCCGCGGUAAUACAGAGGGUGCAAGCGUUAAUCGGAAUUACUGGGCGUAAAGCGGGGGUAGGGGGGUCAGUAAGAUGGGUGUGAAAACCCCGGGCUUAACCUGGGAACUGCUUUCAUAACCGCUGAGCUAGAGUACGGUAGAAGGUAGGGGAAUUUCCUGUGUAGCGGUGAAAUGCGUAGAUAUAGGGAGGAACACCAGUGGCGAAGGCGACUACCUGGACUGAUACUGACACUGAAGUGAGAAAGCGUGGGGAGCAAACA
rnacentral:rRNA from 1 species